CGUCUCAUGCCACGUUGCAGCCAAACGCAGAGCUCUGCAGUGCUUGCAUCCCUCCCGGGAUGAGGGAAAGGGUCACAGCUCAUUCACUUGGAUUUCCAAGAGCUUUUGGCGAGGUUCUUAACAAGAUGCUGUCAAAACAAAAUGGAUUGCCUCGGGGUAAAGAGCGUGUGAGGGAUUGCGAGUGCCCCAGAGUGACCUACAGCAGCGGCCGAUGUCACAGCAGCACGUGACACUGCCCGUGUCCCCCUCUCCUGCGCUGGCAUCAAUCGCAGGGUUUGCUGCCAUCACCCCCAGCUCACACGUGAGCAGCCGGUUAGCACCACGCCGGCGCGGGACAGCCCUGAGGCCAGCGGGC